rnacentral:lncRNA from 1 species
GCAACCUAAAAUACCUUGGUUUUUUGAGUGAGUUUUUUUUUAGCUGCUGUUAAAAUAAUAGGUGACAGGAACAAUUUUAGGAGGAAAAGUUUAUUCAGGGGCUCACGAUUUCAGAGGCCUCAGUCCAUUGUUAGACAGAUUCAUUCCUCGGAGCUUGAGGUGAGCAGUACACUGUGUGCAAGUGUGUGGCAGAGGGAAGCAGCUCACAGGAUGAUCAGGAAACAGAGAAUGAUUACAUACAAAAUAUACACCCAAACAUAGACCCCACAGGGACUCACCUCCUCCAUCCACAGCCUGCCCGCCUAUAGUUACCACUCAGUUACCCAUCAGGGAUUAAUUCACUGAUUGGGUUAAGACACUCAUAACCCAAUCAUUUCUUUCUUUUUACGUUAAAGAAAUAAUAAUUUUAUUUCAAAAAUACAAAAACCUUAUACUCAAAAAAAUCAGAUUCAUUCUAACACAUUGUAUUCUCAAAAACUUGUACCAUGAGAGAUAAACCCAACCUCUUUAUAUUUUAGAUCUCUAUAAGAGAAAAUAAAUGGGCUCCAUGUUGUUGUUAUUGUUGUUUUUCCAAUACUGGGAAUUAACCCAGGGGUGUUUUACCCAUGAGCUAUAGCCCCAGUUCUUCUAAUUAAAAAAAAAAUUGCUCUUUUUAGUUAUACAUGACAGUAG